AGUGAACGCUGGCGGUAGGCCUAACACAUGCAAGUCGAACGGCAGCACAGUAAGAGCUUGCUCUUACGGGUGGCGAGUGGCGGACGGGUGAGGAAUACAUCGGAAUCUACUUUUUCGUGGGGGAUAACGUAGGGAAACUUACGCUAAUACCGCAUACGACCUACGGUUGAAAGCAGGGGAUCUUCGGACCUUGCGCGAUUGAAUGAGCCGAUGUCGGAUUAGCUAGUUGGCGGGGUAAAGGCCCACCAAGGCGACGAUCCGUAGCUGGUCUGAGAGGAUGAUCAGCCACGCUGGAACUGAGACACGGUCAAGACGCCUACGGGAGGCAGCAGUGGGGAAUAUGGGACAAUGGGCGCAAGCCUGAUCCAGCCAUACCGCGUGGGUGAAGAAGGCCUUCGGGUUGUAAAGACCUUUUGUUGGGAAAGAAAAGCAGCAGGUUAAUACCCCGCUGUUCUGACGGUACCCAAAGAAUAAGCACCGGCUAACUUCGUG
rnacentral:rRNA from 1 species